AACCAAGGAGUGCAACAUGCGUGUGAGUCUCCCGGGUGGCAAACCCGUGGGCGCAAUGAAAGUGAAGGCGGUGCGUUGGCCCGCUGUGGCGAGAGCCCUCGACUCUUCGGAGGCGUGGGGCGCAUCGUCGACCGUUCCCAGGUCACGCUGUGGCGGGAUACGAGUGAGAGCGUGCCUGUUGCGACCCGAAAGAUGGUGAACUAUGCCUGAAUAGGGUGAAGCCAGAAGAAAUUCUGGUGGAAGCCCGCAGCGAUUCUGACGUGCAAAUCGAUCGUCAAAUUUGGGUAUAGGGGCGAAAGACUAAUCGAACCAUCUAGUAGCUGGUUCCCUCCGAAGUUUCCCUCAGGAUAGCUGGAGCCCGGUGCAGUUUUAUCAGGUAAAGCGAAUGAUUAGAGGUCUUGGGGCUGAAACAGCCUCAACCUAUUCUCAAACUUUAAAUGGGUAAGAAGCCCGGCUUGCUCGGUUGAAGUCGGGCGCAGAAUGCCGGGGCUCCCAGUGGGCCAUUUUUGGUAAGCAGAACUGGCGAUGUGGGAUGAACCAAAUGCCGGGUUAAGGUGCCCGAAUCGACGCUCAUCAGAUCCCAUGAAAGGUGUUGGUUGAUACCUGGACAGCAGGACGGUGGCCAUGGAAGUCGGAAU
rnacentral:rRNA from 1 species